CGGGGAGAGGCAUCGGAAGGCGUCUUCGUAAACGCCGGCCGGCCCUUCAAUUCUCUCGCUUUCUCUCCCUCUCUUGUCUUCUCUCAAACUCCUCUUAGCCUUCUCUUCUCGGUUGUUGCUCGCUUCUCGUAGGAAUCGAAGAUGAGGGAGUGCAUCUCGAUCCACAUCGGCCAGGCCGGGAUCCAGGUCGGCAAUGCCUGCUGGGAACUUUACUGCCUCGAGCACGGCAUCCAGGUCCGAACAUUUUAUCUCUUUCUCCGAUCUGCAAACAUUGUGCUUUUCUGAUCUUUUUUCCUCCGAUUUACUUGUUUUCUUUGCUCAUUUUCUUAUUCUUUGCCCCGAUCUCGUCCGCUGAUCGAGUUCUCGUUUGAUUUUUAUUGUUUUUGGGCCGGAUCUGGGUUUUUACGAUCUGGCAAUGACGGAUCCUUCCAAAAUGCUUCAUGUCAUAUUAGAAAUUGGAUGUUGUGCUGGUAGAUUUGUAGAUCCUUGCUUUAUGAUCAUUUUGAUGGUUGGAUGCACCUAUAUGUUAUUGAGACCCGGAGAUUACUGUACGAAAUCUGCAAGUGGAUUAUUUCUUCGUGGAUCUACGGAUCUGUGCUUUAUGACCAUUUUAACUGUUGGAUCUGCGGGAAUGCGUUUGAGAUCUAGAGAUUGGCAUAUGAAAGUGGAUUAUUUCUUCGUGGAUCUACGGAUCUGUGCUUUAUGACCGUUUUAACUGUUGGAUCUGUGGGUAUGCUUUUGAGAUCUAGAGAUUGGCAUACAAUUUUUGAUUUCAUUGUUCUUUCAAACAUGUUCUCUUGGCCGCUUUAAAUUUGAUAGCAUGUUAAUUCACUUAUUUGCUAGCUUUUGAUGUAUCUUUUCCAUUUCUCAAUUUGUUACCUGGAAACUUUCCAGUCUGGUAAUUUGCUGUGAUGAAUACCAUUUCAAUUAAAAUGAGCUCCUAUUGUAUUGGUUGAUGGAAUAUGGACCUGUAAUUGUUUCUAUAAUCCCAGCUCUGGAACUUGGAGCAACUUUGGUGUCCUAUUCUGGAAUUUCCGUCCAUCCAAUGGAUGAGAGAUGGAUGUACAAUCACAUUUGUAAUAUGAGAUUUAAUUAUAGGACUAUCUUUCUAUAUUAUGUUUGCGGAAUUUCUUCCUGAAACUUUAUCCAUUCGGAUUAUGUAGUGUUAUUCUUUAAUUCUGCGUACAUAUCAGUAAAAUUUUUGAGGUUUUCAUAAUAUUAUAUUUAACUAUUGUUUAGUUUCGUUCUAUAAUAUGAUUUUGUUAUAUUUGUGUUUUAGCUUGUGCUUUCUUUUACACCGAUCUAUAAGCUUCAGGAUUUGGGGCUGGACCUAGCUACAGUUACAUUUGCUGUAUGACCUUCAUAGAGUAGAGUUCCUCUCUUUGCAGCCUGAUGGCCAAAUGCCAGGUGACAAGACUGUUGGUGGUGGUGAUGAUGCAUUCAACACCUUCUUUAGUGAAACCGGUGCAGGAAAGCAUGUUCCUCGUGCUGUGUUUGUUGAUCUUGAGCCUACUGUGAUUGAUGAGGUGAGAACUGGAUCAUACCGC
rnacentral:lncRNA from 1 species